GGCGCACGGGUGAGUAACGCGUAGAUAACCUGUCUUCAUGUCUGGAAUAAUACGCCAAAGGGGUACUAAUACCGGAUAUUCUUGCUUUUCAGUAAGUUAUGCAAGCAAAGGUGGCCUCUGCAUAUGCUACUGCAUGAAGAGGGGUCUGCGUACCAUUAGCUAGUAGGUGGGGUAAUGGCCUACCUAGGCGACGAUGGUUAGCGGGUCUGAGAGGAUGAUCCGCCACACUGGCACUGGAACACGGGCCAGACUCCUACGGGAGGCAGCAGUGAGGAAUAUUGCGCAAUGGGGGAAACCCUGACGCAGCGACGCCGCGUGAGUGAAGGAAGGCCUUCGGGUCGUAAAGCUCUGUCAAGAGGAAAGAAGUGUACAAUGGCUAAUACCUGUUGUAUUUGACGGUACCUCUAAAGGAAGCACCGGCUAACUCCGUGCCAGCCGCAGC
rnacentral:rRNA from 1 species